rnacentral:rRNA from 1 species
CACCGCCCGUCACACCACGAAAGUUGGCAACACUUGAAGCCGCUGGGCUAACUCGCAAGAGAGGCAAGCGUCGAGGGUGGGGUCAGUGAUUGGGGUG